rnacentral:rRNA from 1 species
GGUUAAGCGACUAAGCGUACACGGUGGAUGCCUAGGCAGUCAGAGGCGAUGAAGGACGUGCUAAUCUGCGAUAAGCGUCGGUAAGGUGAUAUGAACCGUUACAGCCGACGAUUUCCGAAUGGGGAAACCCAGUGCAAUCCGUUGCACUAUCGUUAAGUGAAUACAUAGCUUAACGAAGCGAACCAGGGGAACUGAAACAUCUAAGUACCCUGAGGAAAAGAAAUCAACCGAGAUUCCCCCAGUAGCGGCGAGCGAACGGGGAGCAGCCCAG